GUCCUUGCACAUGUUCCGGGAAGCGGCCCUCACAAAUGUAGCCAAUGUAGGACAAGCAGUAAUCUGGGAAAUUGUAACAUAAGAUCACAUAAUGGCGGUGGCUUUUGAAUGAUAAGAAACCCAGCAUGUCCACCUAGUUCUAAAGCUCCAAAGAACAGAAGUUUAAAAGAGCACAGGUGUGUGUUUGAGCAAGAAUCUUGCAAAAGCAUUCCUGAGUGUAGCCUCAGUGUGAGGAUCUCAAACUUACUCAGAUCCCAUCAUGCAGAAGUCAUAAAGUGGAUCCAGGAUCUGACUUACUGGGGCUCAGCAAUCCAGACAGAUGGGGAAGCAGCAGAAGCUGAAUUGCCUGGCUGCUAAGGCAGCACAUUACACAGUAUCCUGCUGGCAUAGCAGGGUUUGGUGAACACAGCCCUAGCAGACUAACACAGCUGGCAAGUCAGAAGCCUCAGACUCCAAGACCCUGACUGCAGUGCUAUCACACCUCUGUCAGCAGAGUUGGCUAAUGAAUCUUGGAAAAAUCAGAGUUCUUCUCACAAAAUAAGGAUCCUGUGAAGGAGAGUAAUCAAGGAAAAGUUGCAAUCUCUUCAGACCUCUAUCAUCAAAAAGGAGGCCCAGUGCAUUAUUGCACCGAGAAGUUCUCUGUAGGGGUGAUCAUAAGGGACCUUCAAAUGUUUGAGGAAACAUCAUCAGUAGAUAAUGUAGCCCUCAGACAACUGCACUGUUUCUCUGCAGUAAAGCUACCCUUGGUCACUCGA